rnacentral:rRNA from 1 species
GAUGACUCUCGGCAACGGAUAUCUUGGCUCUUGCAUCGAUGAAGAACGCAGCGAAAUGUGAUAAGUGGUGUGAAUUGCAGAAUCCCGUGAACCAUCGAGUCUUUGAACGCAAGUUGCGCCCGAGGCCAUCAGGCUAAGGGCACGCCUGCCUGGGCGUCGUGU